rnacentral:rRNA from 1 species
UACGGAGGGGGCUAGCGUUGUUCGGAAUUACUGGGCGUAAAGCGCACGUAGGCGGCUUUGUAAGUUAGAGGUGAAAGCCCGGAGCUCAACUCCGGAACUGCCUUUAGGACUGCAUCGCUUGAACGUCGGAGAGGUAAGUGGAAUUCCGAGUGUAGAGGUGAAAUUCGUAGAUAUUCGGAAGAACACCAGUGGCGAAGGCGACUUACUGGACGACUGUUGACGCUGAGGUGCGAAAGCGUGGGGAGCAAACAGG